rnacentral:rRNA from 1 species
CCUACGGGAGGCAGCAGUGGGGAAUAUUGCACAAUGGGGGGAACCCUGAUGCAGCGACGCCGCGUGAGUGAAGAAGUCAUUCGUGAUGUAAAGCUCUAUCAGCAGGGAAGAAAAUGACGGUACCUGACUAAGAAGCCCCGGCUAACUACGUGCCAGCAGCCGCGGUAAUACGUAGGGGGCAAGCGUUAUCCGGAUUUACUGGGUGUAAAGGGAGCGUAGACGGCAGCGCAAGUCCGAAGUGAAAGCCCGGGGCCCAACCCCGGGACUGCUUUGGAAACUGUGAAGCUGGAGUGCGGGAGGGGCAGGCGGAAUUCCUGGUGUAGCGGUGAAAUGCGUAGAUAUCUGGAGGAACAUCAGUGGCGAAGGCGGCCACCUGGACCGGUAUUGACGCUGAGGCGCGAAAGCGUGGGGAGCAAACAGGAUUAGAUACCCUUGUAGUC